rnacentral:rRNA from 1 species
GGUGAGGUAACGGCUCACCAAGGCGACGAUGCGUAGCCGACNUGAGAGGGUGAUCGGCCACACUGGGACUGAGACACGGCCCAGACUCCUACGGGAGGCAGCAGUAGGGAAUCUUCCGCAAUGGACGAAAGUCUGACGGAGCAACGCCGCGUGAGUGAUGAAGGUCUUCGGAUCGUAAAGCUCUGUUGUUAGGGAAGAACAAGUGCCGUUCAAAUAGGGCGGCACCUUGACGGUACCUAACCAGAAAGCCACGGCUAACUACGUGCCAGCAGCCGCGGUAAUACGUAGGUGGCAAGCGUUGUCCGGAAUUAUUGGGCGUAAAGGGCUCGCAGGCGGUUUCUUAAGUCUGAUGUGAAAGCCCCCGGCUCAACCGGGGAGGGUCAUUGGAAACUGGGGAACUUGAGUGCAGAAGAGGAGAGUGGAAUUCCACGUGUAGCGGUGAAAUGCGUAGAGAUGUGGAGGAACACCAGUGGCGAAGGCGACUCUCUGGUCNGUAACUGACGCUGAGGAGCGAAAGCGUGGGGAGCGAACAGGAUUAGAUACCCUGGUAGUCCACGCCGUAAACGAUGAGUGCUAAGUGUUAGGGGGUUUCCGCCCCUUAGUGNUGCAGCUAACGCAUUAAGCACUCCGCCUGGGGAGUACGGUCGCAAGACUGAAACUCAAAGGAAUUGACGGGGGCCCGCACAAGCGGUGGAGCAUGUGGUUUAAUUNGAAGCAACGCGAAGNACCUNACCANNGUCUUNACAUCCUCUGACAAUCCUAGAGAUAGGACGUCCCCUUCGGGGGCAGAGUGACAGGUGGUGCA